AUUGAACGCUGGCGGCAGGCCUAACACAUGCAAGUCGAACGAGUGGCGGACGGGUGAGAAAUGUCUGGGAAACCGCCUGAUGGAGGGGGAUAUAUAGUGGAAACUGUAGAUAAUACCGCAUACACUCGGAUGUGCCCAGAUGGGAUUCGCUAGUAGGUGGGGUAAAGGCUCCCCUAGGCGACGAUCCCUAGCUGGUCUGAGAGGAUGACCAGCCACACUGGAACUGAGACACGGUCCAGACUCCUACGGGAGGCAGCAGUGGGGAAUAUUGCACAAUGGGCGCAAGCCUGAUGCAGCCAUGCCGCGUGUAUGAAGAAGGCCUUCGGGUUGUAAAGUACUUUCAGCCGGGAGGCGUUACCCGCAGAAGAGGCACCGGCUAACUCCGUGCCAGCAGCCGCGGUAAUUC
rnacentral:rRNA from 1 species